rnacentral:rRNA from 1 species
UGGGGAAUAUUGCACAAUGGAGGAAACUCUGAUGCAGCGACGCCGCGUGAGUGAAGAAGUAUUUCGGUAUGUAAAGCUCUAUCAGCNGGGAAGAAAAUGACGGUACCUGACUAAGAAGCACCGGCUAAAUACGUGCC